UCCAAACUGUUUUAGUGGUAAAGAAUCUGCCUGACAAUGCCAGAGAUGCAGGAGAUACAGGUUUGAUUCCUGGGUCAGGAA
rnacentral:tRNA from 1 species